CAAAGGCGAUAGAUCAGUUAAAGACAAAAAGGACAUCGGGGAGGAGUCGGGCCGGCUAGAGGCUCUUGCAAGAGAAGGAUCUUCUGGUCAAGGCAGAGAGGCUUUGGCUCGAGCUCGAGGGAGGAGACGUCGCAACGAGCUUGGGCAAAAACAGGGUUGAGAGCUUGAAGGGCAAGAGCAUCCUGGAAGGCGAACUGAUUGCAGAUCCGGAGCUCUUGGCGAGCUUCACAAAGAAGUUGGAGGAAGAGAUGGUUCCGCGGGUGGUCUGGAUUGCGAGACCGGAGGUCAGGCGCUUGAGAGUGCAAUUGCGCCGUUGCACGACCGAAGAUCAAAUCCCAAAAACCAUCGAGAGAGAGAUUCUGAAGCAGGUGAUCGUGCUAAGGAAAAGAAGCCCACAUGAGAAGCUAAGAAGAAGAAGCAGAAGCAGAAGCAAAGACGAGGUUGAUGGUUAAGAAGAAG